UUCACUGACAACACCCCCAGACAGACUGAUUGGCAUGGUGGGUUCCUCCUUGCCCAUGACUGGCUUGGAGCGAGUAUCACGCAGGCAAUGUUUGGUUGAUGACCUGUUUCAUGUGCUCAGUGCAUGAUCUGAUUCAUAAUCGUCUUGUUUGUUGUGGACAAUGAAGGGUUGAUAACAGCAAGGACCAUGGGGAAUCAGCCAACGUGAUGCUUUAUAUCGUGAUUCAGCAAGUACGAACCACUUACAGAAUGUCUGUCAGCUACCAGAAGGCUUCUAGAUUAAAAUCAACCCAAGAUAUCCUCAAAUCCAGAUCUGCCACACCCUCUGGCCCUCCCCCGGCUCCUGUUCCACGGCUGCCGUCCUCCACUGGAUAAGUUUCACCACUUCCCUGAAUAAAAACUCUUAGCCUAUUCCUGGAACAACUAAUACCUCUAAAAAAGUUUCAUUUAGGAUUGAGCUUUCAGGUUGUCCCAUAGGAGAGCCUUGUUGGGGCCAUGUGUGUCACAUUUAAAGGGCCCAUAUACAACAUUUUGUGCAUUUUAUUUUUCCCCCUGGGGUCCACUUAUAAUAUUUGUGUAGGUUUAUGUAGCAAAAAC